UGAGAAUUUUACACUGAUACUCAGACUUGCUUGCUUUGCCAAAAGCCUGAGUUAUGAAUGCAGAGGAUACCUGCUCUUACUGUGACUGCUGCAGACACCGUGGUGGGCUCUGUGAGCAGAGUGCAGGGAAUGCAGGACACGGGCGUGCAGGGAAUGCAGGACAUGGGUGUGCAGGGAAUGCAGGACAUGGGUGUGCAGGGAAUGCAGGACAUGGGUGUGCAGGGUGUGCAGGACAUGGGUGUGCAGGGAAUGCAGGACACAGAUGUGCAGGGUGAUGCUGCCCCUGGUAGCUCCUCAAUGCUGACUCUCAGCCUCAGGACUCAGCUGCAAUGAGCUAAAUCUGCAGCUUGCUUCAUGUUGCACUGAUUUACCACGUGCUUGCUGAUUUAUGCUCCAGGCACAGAAGAAAUGCAGGUUGUGCUGACCCAGCCUGCAAGGCAAGCUCUGAAUGUUAUGUCCUCCCCACUGCUGGUCUCUUGUUCUUUGUGUGUUACUGGGCAGGUUGCUCCCCAGUUUGAAAACAGGGAUUUGUACAUUGGCCUUCUGGAUGUCUUCUCAAAGUUCUGUAGCAUCUUUUUUUCUUUU
rnacentral:lncRNA from 12 species